UACGUAGGGUGCGAGCGUUAAUCGGAAUUACUGGGCGUAAAGCGUGCGCAGGCGGUUUUGUAAGUCAGCUGUGAAAUCCCCGGGCUCAACCUGGGAACUGCGUUUGAAACUACAAGGCUAGAGUGUGGCAGAGGGGGGUGGAAUUCCACGUGUAGCAGUGAAAUGCGUAGAGAUGUGGAGGAACACCGAUGGCGAAGGCAGCCCCCUGGGUUAACACUGACGCUCAGGCACGAAAGCGUGGGGAGCAAACAGG
rnacentral:rRNA from 1 species